rnacentral:rRNA from 1 species
AGCGAACGCUGGCGGCGUGCCUAACACAUGCAAGUCGAACGUGAAAGGGAGCAAUCCCAAGUAAAGUGGCGUACGGGUGAGGAACACGUAGGUAAUCUACCCCAGAAUCUGGAAUAACCGGCCGAAAGGCUGGCUAAUACUGGAUAGAGCAACGGAAUCCGUAAUUGGGUUUUCCGGGAAAGGGAGCCUGUAAAAAGGCCCUCGUUCUGGGAUGAGCCUGCGUCCCAUCAGCUAGUUGGUGAGGUAAAAGCUUACCAAGGCAAUGACGGGUAGCUGGUCUGAGAGGACGGUCAGCCACACUGGGACUGGAGCCCGGUCCAGACUCCUUCGGGAGGCAGCAGUGGGGAAUCUUGCGCAAUGGACGGAAGUCUGACGCAGCCACGCCGCGUGAGUGAAGAAGGCCUUCGGGUUGUAAAGCUCUGUCGAGUGGGACGAAAAUGCUUGGAGUUCACAGCUCCAGGAACUGACGGUACCACUAAAGGAAGCACCGGCUAACUCCGUG